AAGAUACUAGUAAGCAGCCUAUUACACUACUUCGUCAAGGUAGAAUUGCGAGUUAAAGCCUCGCGUAUCUUA
rnacentral:tRNA from 1 species